AGGGUAAUAGUUAACCAUAACAUUUAACUUGCACUUAAAAAGUAUUGAUACAUCAAUUUACCUU
rnacentral:tRNA from 1 species